AUCAUACUCCCUUCGUUCAAAAAUACUUGUUAUUAAAAUGAACAAAAGGGGAUGUAUUUAAAAGUAUUUUAGUUCUAGAUACAUCCUUUUCUAUCCAUUUUAAUGACAAGUAUUUUCGGACGGAGGGAAUAGUAG
rfam:Triticum urartu cultivar G1812 contig170028, whole genome shotgun sequence.